GUCACCAAAAUAAGUUGGGUGAUUUCGUAAAAGUCCGGCCGAUGUGCUUUCAACAAGAUUUUUUUUGUUAUAUCCAAGACAUAAACGUUAUAAAUGACAAACCUUAUUUAAGGACAUAAAAGUUAUUUAUAAAAUGGAAUGAUACAAAAUAAACCGAUCUAAAAACGUAGGCUAUAUGCAUACAAAAAAAAAUGAAAUAAAAAUCCGGCGGGGGAGGAAUAUCAUUUUAUUUUAAUCAUAAUUUUAAGCGCAUGGAAGCAAGCAUGUCAAAUGCACUGACAGCAAAAUCUAUAAAUUAUCCAACAUUAUUGUAAUUUUAUUAUUACACACAAGUCGCUGAAAAGUUUGAUGCUCAAGAUCUGGCUGGAACUACUUCUUGUCAACCCAACCUCCGCUCUCUCGUUCUGAAAAGUUGAAGUCACACAUUUUCUGGAAACGAUAUCCUUAUUACCUCACCAUAUCCUUGCCUUACAGUAGCCUAUUUCAUAAUUUGUCAGGACGUACCUGUGUAUACCUGUGUCCACCUAUCUCUGUCUACCUGUAUUACGCCCUCCACAGGCUCUUCCUGUCUUUCUGUUUGUCUGUGUUUGUGUGCAUCUCCAGGCUCCAGUGAUCCAGUCCAUCCUACCUGCACAAGAUCCACACCUGCGGUCCAGUUUCCCAAUAACUUGCGGUGACAUACCCUGGUUUGCCCUCCACUCACCGCCAGAUCGUUGUUUUUACAACCUGAAACAUCCCACUCACCCCAACUCUCCAUCUGCCUGCCUAUCCGCUCUGCUUGCUACCUGCCUCUCUGUGUUUAAAAUGACCAAACCCAAAAGCAGGCCUUGCCCUUACUGCCAGGUCAUGAAUACUGCCAACCGCAAAACAUGCCUUUCAUGUUUUGCAAGCCUCUCAACAAAAGAGAGGAUUAAGUCCAAGGAGGAGAGUUUGCAU